rnacentral:tRNA from 1 species
AAAAAGUUAGUUAAAUUAUAUAAUAUAAGGUUGUCAGCCUUACGUUACUAAUCAAGUUUAGUACUUUUUAC